rnacentral:rRNA from 1 species
UACGUAGGGGGCUAGCGUUGUCCGGAAUCAUUGGGCGUAAAGCGCGUGUAGGCGGUCCGGUAAGUCCGCUGUGAAAGUCGGGGGCUCAACCCUCGAAUGCCGGUGGAAACUGUCGGGCUAGAGUACGGAAGAGGCGAGUGGAAUUCCUGGUGUAGCGGUGAAAUGCGCAGAUAUCAGGAGGAACACCAAUUGCGAAGGCAGCUCGCUGGGACGUUACUGACGCUGAGACGCGAAAGCAUGGGGAGCGAACAGG